rnacentral:lncRNA from 1 species
UCAUUACAUGUAUUAUGUAUGCAUAUUCCUAGCAUGACAACCCACUGAUAUUGCUCUCGACUUGGUCUGUAUUAGCAUCACAACUUCAUGUGCUUACUUAAUCCAAGUCAUGGCCGGAUGUGCAUAUCAGCAUAUGCUUCAAGCAAGCUAUGGUUGAAGAAAACCACCAUGUCCCUCUCUUGUUUCUAUCAAUUUGCAGUCCUCCCUUCAUGCUUAGGAGGCCCUGAAGCCCUCUUCUUCACCCAAACAGUAUACCUAGAAGAGUUCACUGAUUAGUGUCAUGAUAAAAAAUGAUGCAAACUGAUGAAAGCUCUCAAGAUAACAAAGCUUUUAGACAAAACAGAAUGGCCAUUCAACCUCUAGUGAAUAAACAAUAUAAUGACGAUUAGUGCUAGAGAAUUAAUUAAAUUAUAGCAUUGGACAUCAAAUAAAUUUGAAUGAAGUGAAGAAAGAGGUACAACAAAAAGCAGGCGUCUUGAGUAAUGAUUAACCUACACAUAUCAUACAUGAAUGAGGGAGGGAGGAAUUUGAAAUUUUAGUGGCAAUAAGAAUGACAUGGUUUCGAUUCUGAAUCUCUACUGGGAUGAAAGUGAAAAUACAGUGGGAACAUAGCAUCACAAACCAAUGAUUGCAUUGCCUGCUACUCUGCACAUGGCUGCAAUAAGCAUACCUAUAUGAAUGCUCUAGAAUUCUGGCAGGAUAUCACAUACACACUAAAUGUGUAGCUCCUCUGCUCCUCCGGCUGUGGGAUUUUUUUUGGGUAACAGAUGCCUGAACCAUGGCGUCUUUGCUUGCUUAUCUGCACACACGAAUCAUGUAAAAGUGUCACAACAACCCAUCGGGGCACCCAUCAGAUCUAAUAAGAGAUGGCUUGAUCAGCAACGGUGGACGAAGGAACAAAUCAUCGUCAGGGAGCGCAUUCAUAUCAAAAUAGCGAUCGAUAUGACGGAGGUGUUAGUCACCAUCAUGCUAGCCGACAAGAUGUGGUCCUCGAGAAAACGUUAUCUAAAUACAGGCUAUAGUUUGUGUGCAAGUCUGCACAAUUUAGAAACCUAAUGUUCUGUCAGUAUCUAAGGAACAAGUUAACAAAACCAAUUUACAGAAGCAGCAAAAAAGCAUGCCUUUGUUGAAGGCUAUGAAUAAACAAAAAGUUUCCACAAACAGACAAAUGCUAGAAUUAUCUUGCUCUGACACUUCACUCUGAAUCAUCUACAAAUGAAUCAAACAGUUGAAUUAAAUUUGGUUGCCUAGAUUUAGAAAAAUUGUAUACCUGACAGGGACCACCAUUUAUGAUUUCUACAUCGCUAGGGAUAGGAAGGUUCUACAUAUUUCAUUGAGCACCUCCGGUACACAACAAGCAAGCAAAUCGACAGUGUAUCCACAGACCUGUACAUCUCAUGCUUCAUGCUCAGAUCACUGGGGACUGCAAGAGAAGCAAUCAGAGCUCAGUGGGACAUCCUAUUCCUCAAGAGGAAUACUGAUGAUAAUUUGACAUGGAAAAGUGUAUGUGGACCUGAUAGCACUAUAUGCAAAUCACUCAAGGUAAAUGACAGUGACAACAAUAAUAUAUAAUUUGGUU